rnacentral:misc_RNA from 1 species
CGCAGCCGCGGUAAUUCCAGCUCCAAUAGCGUAUAUUAAAGUUGUUGCAGUUAAAAAGCUCGUAGUUGAAUUUCGGGACUAAUAUGUCGGUCGUGCCUCGGUACGCACUGGCUAAUUGGUUUCUCCUUUCUGAAGAACCAUGAUGUCAUUUAUUUGGUGUCGUGGGGAAUCAGGACUGUUACUUUGAAAAAAUUAGAGUGUUUAAAGCAGGCUCACGCUUGAAUACAUUAGCAUGGAAUAAUGAAAUAGGACGUUUGAUUCUAUUUUGUUGGUUUCUAGGAUCGACGUAAUGAUUAAUAGGGAUAGUUGGGGGCAUUAGUAUUCAAUUGUCAGAGGUGAAAAUUCUUGGAUUUAUUGAAGACUAACUACUGCGAAAGCAUUUGCCAAGGAUGUUUUCAUUAAUCAAGAACGAAAGUUAGGGGAUCGAAGACGAUCAGAUACCGUCGUAGUCUUAACCAUAAACUAUGCCGACUAGGGAUCGGAUGAUGUUAAUUUUUUAAUGACUCAUUUCGGCGCCUUA